ensembl:lncRNA
CAGCCCUGGGGAAGAGGAGCAUUUCUUGGAAAGCCAGGAGACACCCGCCAGCUCUCAUGGAUGCAGACACAUCUGUGUAUAUGAAUUGUGGCACUGCCUUUUGGUACAGGACACCACAGCCGUGCAAGCACAGCAGCGGGGAAAGACAGGUACUAGGAGAGGGUCAGAUUUACCUGGCAUCGGAUGAGAAAGGCUACAGAGCAUCCUGAAGAUAUUUUAAGUACAAUAAAUGUUCACAGAUGUCACAUCUCAAGUUUACAUUCCCUUGUAUGCAUUAAGCCACCACAAUUCCCAAAAAUAUGGUCGCAAUGAAAUGACACAAGUGACAACCUGGGAAGCCUACAGGGCUACCUGUGGACACAGGUGAGUGAGAGAUGGGAGCUGCUGGGAAAGCCUCUUUCCUGUGUAUGUGACCUGACAGCAUGAAUCUGGGACUGUGCAAGACUGAAUCCACAAAAGAAGAUAUGCUUCAU